AUUCCAGCUCCAAUAGCGUAUAUUAAAGUUGUUGCAGUUAAAAAGCUCGUAGUUGGAUUUCGGAAUGGGUCAAUUGGUCCGCCGCAAGGUGAGUUACUGGUUGGUCUGUUCUUCUUCGCAAAGACUGCGUAUGCACUUUAUUGGGUGUGCGUAGGAUUUACGACGUUUACUUUGAAAAAAUUAGAGUGUUCAAAGCAGGCUAUCGCUUGAAUACAUGAGCAUGGAAUAAUGGAAUAGGACUUUGGUCUUAUUUUAUUGGUUUUCGGAAAUCGAGUUAAUGAUUAACAGGGACAACUGGGGGCAUUAGUAUUCAGACGACAGAGGUGAAAUUCUUGGACCGUCUGAAGACUGACUACUGCGAAAGCAUUUGCCAAGAGUGUUUUCAUCA
rnacentral:rRNA from 1 species